GGUGCUGUGGUCGAGUGGUCAGGCAUAGCUCUGCAAAAGCUCUUACACUGGUUCGAAUCCAGUCAGCACCUCAA
rnacentral:tRNA from 1 species